AUGUGUAUAAUUAAUUAAGGUUACUAAUGGAUCCCGAAUCAGAUGUAUUUUCGGUCAGUUAUUGUUUGAUCUAUUUUUCAGCUUUAAAUGCAGUAUGGUAUGUGAUGUAUUUAUUUUAUGGUUAUGUAUGCACGAAUCAUGGUUUCUUUUAUUAUGGUUUGAAUUAUGGUGAACCCAAUAUUAUGUUGUUUUGUUUGUGUUCAUUAUUGGUUUACGUGUUUGUGUAU
rnacentral:lncRNA from 1 species